rnacentral:rRNA from 1 species
CGUUAAAUUUUUGAAGUUAUUUUAGCUUUUUUGUUGGGUGAAAUCAGUAUAAAGAGUUUUUCCUUCUUUAAAAAUUAAUAGGAAUUAAAAAACUCUGAUUUAAAACCAGGAUUAGAUACCCUGUUAUUCUGAGUUAUAUUUAGACAGGGUAGUAAAAGUUGUUCUUCAAACCCAAAGAUUUUGGCGGCACUUUAUCCAAAUAGAGGAGCUUGCCCCUUAAUCGAUAGUCCCCGUUUUAUCUUUCCUCUGUUUGUAGAGCUUGUAUACCGCCGUUGUCAGAUUACUUCUAGAGAAUGUUUUCAAAUUAAAAGAUUUUUUUACUUCAGGUCAAGGUGCAGUUUAUAUAGAGGUGGAGGUGAGCUACAAUUUUCUUUACAAAUAUGGAUACUAAGCCUCGAAGCUGGUUGGAGGUGGAUUUAUUAGUAAAGUAAUCCAAGUUAAAUUAUUUGAAUAAGGCAAUAAAGUGUGU